UUGCAGCAGUCGCGAAUUUUUGACAAUGGGGAAACCCUGAUCGAGCGACGCCGCGUGGAGGAUGAAGGUCUUCGGGUUGUAAACUCCUGUCAUUUGGGAACAAGCUGCUUACGUUAACUGCGUAGGCAUUGAUAGUACCAGAAGAGGAAGGGACGGCUAACUCUGUGCCAGCAGCCGCGGUAAUACAGAGGUCUCAAGCGUUGUUCGGAUUCAUUGGGCGUAAAGGGUGUGUAGGUGGCGCCGUAAGUCGGGUGUGAAAUUUCGAGGCUUAACCUCGAAACUGCAUUCGAUACUGCGGUGCUUGAGGACUGGAGAGGAGACUGGAAUUCAUGGUGUAGCAGUGAAAUGCGUAGAGAUCGAUGAGGAAGACCAGUGGCGAAGGCGGGUCUCUGGACAGUUCCUGACACUGAGACACGAAGGCC
rnacentral:rRNA from 1 species